AUUGAACGCUGGCGGCAGGCCUAACACAUGCAAGUCGAACGAGUGGCGGACGGGUGAGUAAUGUCUGGGAAACUGCCUGAUGUAGGGGGAUAACUACUGGAAACGGUAGCUAAUACCGCAUACCAUCGGAUGUGCCCAGAUGGGAUUAGCUAGUAGGUGGGGUAAAGGCUCACCUAGGCGACGAUCCCGAGCUGGUCUGAGAGGAUGACCCGCAACGCGGGAACUGAGACACGGUCAAGACUCCUACGGGAGGCAGCAGUGGGGAAUAUUGCACAAGGGGCGCAAGCCAGAUGCAGCCAUGCCGUGUGUAUGAAGAAGGCUUUCGGGUUGUAAAGUACUUUCAGCGGGGAGGCGUUACCCGCAGAAGAAGCACCGGCUAUCUCCGUGCCAGCCGCCGCUAAUAC
rnacentral:rRNA from 1 species